rnacentral:rRNA from 1 species
ACACACUAUCAUUAACUGAAUCCAUAGGUUAAUGAGGCGAACCGGGGGAACUGAAACAUCUAAGUACCCCGAGGAAAAGAAAUCAACCGAGAUUCCCCCAGUAGCGGCGAGCGAACGGGGAGCAGCCCAGAGCCUGAAUCAGUAUGUGUGUUAGUGGAAGCGUCUGGAAAGGCGCGCGAUACAGGGUGACAGCCCCGUACACAAAAAUGCACAUGCUGUGAGCUCGAUGAGUAGGGCGGGACACGUGGUAUCCUGUCUGAAUAUGGGGGGACCAUCCUCCAAGGCUAAAUACUCCUGACUGACCGAUAGUGAACCAGUACCGUGAGGGAAAGGCGAAAAGAACCCCGGCGAGGGGAGUGAAAAAGAACCUGAAACCGUGUACGUACAAGCAGUGGGAGCACGCUUAGGCGUGUGACUGCGUACCUUUUGUAUAAUGGGUCAGCGACUUAUAUUCUGUAGCAAGGUUAACCGAAUAGGGGAGCCGAAGGGAAACCGAGUCUUAACUGGGCGUUAAGUUGCAGGGUAUAGACCCGAAACCCGGUGAUCUAGCCAUGGGCAGGUUGAAGGUUGGGUAACACUAACUGGAGGACCGAACCGACUAAUGUUGAAAAAUUAGCGGAUGACUUGUGGCUGGGGGUGAAAGGCCAAUCAAACCGGGAGAUAGCUGGUUCUCCCCGAAAGCUAUUUAGGUAGCGCCUCGUGAAUUCAUCUCCGGGGGUAGAGCACUGUUUCGGCAAGGGGGUCAUCCCGACUUACCAACCCGAUGCAAACUGCGAAUACCGGAGAAUGUUAUCACGGGAGACACACGGCGGGUGCUAACGUCCGUCGUGAAGAGGGAAACAACCCAGACCGCCAGCUAAGGUCCCAAAGUCAUGGUUAAGUGGGAAACGAUGUGGGAAGGCCCAGACAGCCAGGAUGUUGGCUUAGAAGCAGCCAUCAUUUAAAGAAAGCGUAAUAGCUCACUGGUCGAGUCGGCCUGCGCGGAAGAUGUAACGGGGCUAAACCAUGCACCGAAGCUGCGGCAGCGACGCUGAUGCGUUGUUGGGUAGGGGAGCGUUCUGUAAGCCUGCGAAGGUGUGCUGUGAGGCAUGCUGGAGGUAUCAGAAGU